rnacentral:misc_RNA from 1 species
UGCUUUGGCAUAUGAACUUGUGGCAUGGUUCACUUGACUAGGUUGUGACUGAUGAAUACCACACCCUCAAAGUCUCUCGAACUCAAUUUGGUACCGCUUGCNNNNNNAAAUUUUAUCCUUUCAUCCGGUGAUUUCAUGUAGGUUUGCUUAUGGAAUAGUAAAUCAAUGAUAAAAUGUCAAAUAAGUGAUGAUGGGUCUUAUAAUAAGCG